GGGGAUGUAGCUCAGUGGUAGAGCGCACGCAUUGCAUGUGUGAGGCCCCGGGUUCAAUCCCCGGCAUCUCCA
rfam:Ciona savignyi cont_28954, whole genome shotgun sequence.